rnacentral:rRNA from 1 species
ACGGGAGGCAGCAGUGGGGAAUAUUGCACAAUGGGCGGAAGCCUGAUGCAGCGAUGCCGCGUGAGGGAAGAAGGUUUUCGGAUUGUAAACCUCUGUCCUCAGGGACGAUAAUGACGGUACCUGAGGAGGAAGCUCCGGCUAACUACGUGCCAGCAGCCGCGGUAAUACGUAGGGAGCGAGCGUUGUCCGGAAUUACUGGGUGUAAAGGGUGCGUAGGCGGGACGGCAAGUCAGAUGUGAAAUGUAUGGGCUUAACCCAUAACCUGCAUUUGAAACUGUUGUUCUUGAGUGAGGUAGAGGUAAGCGGAAUUCCUAGUGUAGCGGUGAAAUGCGUAGAUAUUAGGAGGAACAUCGGUGGCGAAGGCGGCUUACUGGGCUUUUACUGACGCUGAGGCACGAAAGCGCGGGGAGCAAACAGGAUUAGAUACCCUGGUA